UACAGAGGGUGCAAGCGUUGUUCGGAAUCAUUGGGCGUAAAGGGCGUGUAGGCGGUUUGUUAAGUCAUGUGUGAAAUCCCUCGGCUCAACCGGGGAACGACGCAUGAAACUGGCAAGCUAGAGUACCAAAGAGGGGGGUGGAAUUCCACGUGUAGCGGUGAAAUGCGUAGAGAUGUGGAGGAACACCGAUGGCGAAGGCAGCCUUCUGGGCCAACACUGACGCUCAUGCACGAAAGCGUGGGGAGCAAACAGG
rnacentral:rRNA from 1 species